CGGUAAGUUUACUUACCGCUUAACAUCGAGUGUUAAAUAUGCUAGUCCUUUCAUGAUUAUGUGAUAGGUGGUGCAUGGCCGUUCUUAGUUCGUGGAGUGAUCUGUCUGCUUAAUUGCGUUUCACUAAGGGCCCAUAAAUUCAAGGUAUGUUAGCUCUCGUCGCUCUAUGGACCCCUUAACUCCAAUAUUCUUAUUGUGUUAAGCGCGUGUCUUUAUUUUAAGAGUUUUAAGACACUGCGCAUG
rnacentral:rRNA from 1 species